rfam:Oryza glumipatula chromosome 7, whole genome shotgun sequence.
AAAAAGACAAACACUAGGUUUUCGAGUCUAACUUUGACUGUCCGUUUUAUAUGAAAUUUUUUUAUAAUUCUUAUUUUUAUUGUUGUUAGAUGAUAAAACAUGAGUAAUAUUUUAUGCGUAACUUAUCUUUUUAAUUUUUUUCAUAUUUUUUUCAAAUAAGACGAAUGGUCAAACGUUGGACAUGGAAAUCAGGGUUUGUCUUUUU